CGGUUUCUUAUCUUCCUCCUACACUCCUUUUCGAAAAUCUGCUUCUUAUCUUCCUUCUACACUCCCAUCUGAAAAUCUCAUAGACCCAAUCUCAGCUCUCACGAAUUAAAGACUAAUUAUAACCAUAUCUCAAAAUCAAAACCCAUGUAUCAUAUUUCACUGAGGCAAUCGCUUCGAUUUCUUCAAGUUUCAUUCUUUCUCCGGAAUUUCUGUCCCCGGAAUCAAAGAAAUCUCAUUUCUACUAACAUCCUCUCAAAAGAUUUCUGAAUUUGAGAGAGUUUCAUUCAAUUAGUACAACCCUUUAUCCCUUCGUCCUGUUACAAUUAAACCCUAGAUUUGGACCAAAUCGGAUUAAGUAAUAGCGGAUUUGAUGGUGAUUGAUAGGGUACUGAUUGAGGAAGCUACAGCGGUCAAGAAAGUGAAGAAGACAUCGAAAAUAAAGAGGGUUAUUGUAGAAAAUGUGAAUGUAGAAGAGAGGGAAGGGAAGAUUAAGGAGUUGAACUCAUUUUGGCUGGAUCAUCUAUAGAGAUUUUCUAUUCAUAUUUAGCUAAUGACUCACAACUCUUGUGUUGUUUGAAAUUUUUUAUUUUGUUUUAAUUUUUUGUAUUGAUCUAGUUGUUGUCGCUUGUACAUCACAACUACUGAAGCUAAGGAGUUGUAUCUUAACAAGGAUGGGUCACUAUUAAGAAGCUGCAAGAAUGUUGUAUUGGAAAGCAAGUACGAACCCAAGGUUGUGAACUCUGGAGUGAUUGUGGCUAAGUUUUACAGUGUCAUGGUGUUAGUGGAGUUGAUGUGUGCUGCAGAUAAGCAUCCAUUGAGUGCAUGGUUAGGGAGAAGGAUGAGAAGGUUAACUGCAAACUAUGCAAUAUAUACCAAUGCAUUAAGCGCGUCUUUAAGUGUGUAGCUGGUCUACUCAUUGUGCAGAAGGUGGUGAAUCAUGCUCAGAGGCAGAGUCAGUCUUCCAAUCGCUAUAAUAUGCUGCCUCUACUGGCAGCAUGACAAUGUGAAAGUUCUUCUAGAUUACGGCACCACUGUCAAUGCAUGUGGAAAAACAUUCGAAGACGUAGACAUGCUUGAAACAUCUAGUGUUUAUAAUCUUGUAUCAACCAAAUGAUUACCUAGCAGAUUUGAGUUUUUCCCCUCGAGAUUUCCUUGGACAAUUAGUUUUUCAGUUAGCUCUAUAAUUGGGAUUUUAGCUUAUUCCUACGUUCAUAGACAAGCAGUGUAUCCGGUAUGGUUCCAGGGCCACUACAUCAGGGCAUAAAACUAACUUCUGUGUUGCGUAAGGUCAGAUCCCAUAUUAUUUGUAAUACUGGAAUUUCGAAAAUACUAGUAAAGCUGAUGGGCUAAGCUGGAAGUAUCCCGCUUCACGUGAAUGGACAUUAUAUUCUCUGACUACAACACCUUGCGUAUUUUGGUGGAAAAGUUGGGUUACGGUAUGCUGAGAGUUGUGCUCGUGGUGGGAUCUGCUACUUAAACAUCAUGGUAAUUUGGUUGACAAAGAAAAUCGGCCAACGGAGGGUCCUGUCACUAUAAAUGUAACUUCAGGUGCUUCUACCCAAGAUAAGAAAAGAUGCUAUGAAGCUGGUAAUUUAUGGAUGGAUUGGUCGAUUACAUCAUGUCAUUGUGCCCAGCUACAGCAAAAGAAUUGGGGUACCUUAUAGAGGCUAGUUGAAACUUGGGAAAGUCCUGUAGUGUGCCAACAUACACACUCCCACUAUUUUCUUGUUGCUCUAAUCGUUAAAGCUAGGACUAAGCUAGUUCAUUGUAUUCUUUUCAAACUUA